AUACUUACCUGGCAGGGGAGAUACCAUGAUCACGAAGGUGGUUUUCCCAGGGCGAGGCUUAUCCAUUGCACUCCGGAUGUGCUGACCCCUGCGAUUUCCCCAAAUGUGGGAAACUCGACUGCAUAAUUUGUGGUAGUGGGGGACUGCGUUCGUGCUCUCCCCUG
ensembl:snRNA U1 U1 spliceosomal RNA